GUUAAGAAUCUUGCACAAUGGGCGAAAGCCUGAUGCAGCGACGCCGCGUGAGCGAUGAAGGCCUUCGGGUUGUAAAGCUCUUUUCUGGGAGAAGAAACGGAUGGUUAAUAGCCAUCAACUGACUGUACCCCAGGAAUAAGCCUCGGCUAAUUACGUGCCAGCAGCCGCGGUAAUACGUAAGAGGCUAGCGUUGUCCGGAAUCACUGGGCGUAAAGCGCGUGUAGGUGGCUUGAUAAGUCGGAUGUGAAAUCCCCGGGCUCAACCCGGGAACUGCGUCCGAAACUGUCUGGCUGGAGAACAGGAGAGGAGAGUGGAAUUCCGGGUGUAGCGGUGAAAUGCGUAGAUAUCCGGAGGAACACCAGUGGCGAAGGCGGCUCUCUGGCCUGUUUCUGACACUGAGACGCGAAAGCGUGGGGAGCGAACGGGAUUAGAAACCCCUGUAGUCC
rnacentral:rRNA from 1 species